AGAGUUUGAUCAUGGCUCAGAACGAACGUUAGCGGCGCGCUUAAUACAUGCAAGUCGAGCGAGAAAGGGCUUCGGCCCCAGUAAAGCGGCGCACGGGUGAGUAACACGUAGGUCAUCUGCCCUUGGGUGGUGGAUAACAUCCCGAAAGGGGUGCUAAUACAGCAUAACACGGCAACGUCAAAGCGGGCCUCUCUUUAGAAGCUCGCGCCUGAGGAUGAGCCUGCGGCGCAUCAGCUUGUUGGUGGGGUAAUGGCCCACCAAGGCAAAGACGCGUAGCUGGUCUGAGAGGAUGAACAGCCACACUGGAACUGAGACACGGUCCAGACUCCUACGGGAGGCAGCAGUAGGGAAUCUUGCGCAAUGGGCGAAAGCCUGACGCAGCGACGCCGCGUGAGUGAUGAAGGCCCUCGGGUUGUAAAGCUCUGUGGAGAGGGAAGAAUAAGCGGAGGCUAAUACCCUUCGUGAUGACGGUAUCUCUUUAGCAAGCACCGGCUAACUCUGUGCCAGCAGCCGCGGUAAGACAGAGGGUGCAAACGUUGUUCGGAAUCACUGGGCGUAAAGCGCGUGUAGGUGGCUUUGCAAGUCGGAUGUGAAAUCCCGGGGCUCAACCCCGGAAGUGCACUCGAAACUGCAUCGCUAGAGUCCUGGAGAGGAAGGCGGAAUACUUGGUGUAGAGGUGAAAUUCGUAGAUAUCAAGUAGAACACCGGUGGCGAAGGCGGCCUUCUGGACAGUGACUGACGCUGAGACGCGAAAGCGUGGGGAGCAAACAGGAUUAGAUACCCUAGUAGUCC
rnacentral:rRNA from 1 species